rnacentral:rRNA from 1 species
AGAGUUUGAUUCUGGCUCAGGAUGAACGCUGGCGGCGUGCUUAACACAUGCAAGUCGAACGGGAAAUAUUUCAUUGAGACUUCGGUGGAUUUGAUUUAUUUCUAGUGGCGGACGGGUGAGUAACGCGUGGGUAACCUGCCUUAUACAGGGGGAUAACAGUCAGAAAUGGCUGCUAAUACCGCAUAAGCGCACAGAGCUGCAUGGCUCAGUGUGAAAAACUCCGGUGGUAUAAGAUGGACCCGCGUUGGAUUAGCUGGUUGGUGGGGUAACGGCCCACCAAGGCGACGAUCCAUAGCCGGCCUGAGAGGGUGAACGGCCACAUUGGGACUGAGACACGGCCCAG